CGCCCUUCAGAGGGGGACAACAGUUGGAAACGACUGCUAAUACCGCAUACGAUCUGACCUCGGCAUCGAGGAUGGAUGAAAGGUGGCCUCUAUUUAUAAGCUAUCGCUGAAGGAGGGGAUUGCGUCUGAUUAGCUAGUUGGAGGGGUAACGGCCCACCAAGGCGAUGAUCAGUAGCCGGUCUGAGAGGAUGAACGGCCACAUUGGGACUGAGACACGGCCCAG
rnacentral:rRNA from 1 species